rnacentral:rRNA from 1 species
AUUGAACGCUGGCGGAAUGCUUUACACAUGCAAGUCGAACGGCAGCACGGGGGCAACCCUGGUGGCGAGUGGCGAACGGGUGAGUAAUACAUCGGAACGUGCCCAGUCGUGGGGGAUAACGUAGCGAAAGCUACGCUAAUACCACAUACGAUCUGCGGAUGAAAGCAGGGGAUCGCAAGACCUCGCGCGAUUGGAGCGGCCGAUGGCAGAUUAGGUAGUUGGUGAGGUAAAGGCUCACCAAGCCGACGAUCUGUAGCUGGUCUGAGAGGACGACCAGCCACACUGGGACUGGGACACGGCCCAGACUCCUACGGGAGGCAGCAGUGGGGAAUUUUGGACAAUGGGCGCAAGCCUGAUCCAGCCAUUCCGCGUGCAGGAUGAAGGCCCUCGGGUUGUAAACUGCUUUUGUACGGAACGAAACGGCUCUCUCUAAUACAGGGGGCUAAUGACGGUACCGUAAGAAUAAGCACCGGCUAACUACGUGCCAGCCGCCGCCGUAA